rnacentral:tRNA from 1 species
UGGCUCAGUGGUAGAGCCCUUGCCUGGCAUGUAUGAGGCCCUGGGUUCGAUCCUCAG